GGGGACCCGAGACCCACCUGGGGCGCCCCCCGUCGUCGCCAGGCUCCGCGCCCGGGUCCCGACACAUUUUUAGUCCAUCAUCCCUGUCCGAGGCACUUCCUAAAAGAAGAAGAAACUCGACCUCUGUUGCCUCCCAGGCAUCCAGGCCAGCCCCAGCCUGUGGAAUCCUGGUUGCACACCCGUGGGGGCAGAACCCGAAGAGGAGCUGCCCGAAUGUGCCCCUAGAAGGAGUGUCGCUAAUGAUGGGACCGUUCAGCUCACCCAGCCUCGAGUUGUGGCUAGCCUAUAAACAAACUUGGAAGAUGAAAACCCAAGAGCAAGGGGAAAGACACAAGUUUCCCUUUCACAGACACAUGCAUCCGGAUGUCUUUUCUCCUCCCCAUAUGGUUUCCCAAAGGAAAUCCUAAUAUUCAAAUGAUUCUGAUUUCCUGGCAGGAUAGCCUGCAUCCAUGUUAAUGAGAUUCUUUCUUAGGCUCCUGGUCUCUGCUUACUAUUAAGGCAAUAAUAAUUUACCCAAGGUUACAAGGCUGUAUUAUUUGAUUCACUCAUCUCCUGCUUCCUUCCAGAAGGGAAGUACCCAAGGAUAGGUAACUAGAGUCAGCGUAGCUUUGAAGUCAGACAGGUGAGUGUUUGACUGUUGACUUCCUGAACUGUGUAACGUUG
rnacentral:lncRNA from 1 species